AUGAACCAAUCAGUAGGAUGCGGCUGUAUCAGGGUUCUGGAAUGCAGAUGCUCACUAUACUUCUUGAUAUAUUCAUGGGAAAAGCUAACUUCCUGUCAUUUCUAUGUUCUAGAUGAUGAAACAUGCGUGGGACAGCUACAGGCAAUACGGCUGGGGCCACAACGAGCUCAAACCCAUCGCCAAGAAAGGACAUUCCACCAAUAUCUUCGCUGCAGAGCUAGAGAAGAUUCGACUACUGGGACUGAAUCUGAUCUGUGUGUGUACAUGCGAGCAUCCUUGAACAAAGAAAUCACAAUUGAUCCUGUUUGCUGAUGUAACCGAGGCUGUGUGUGCAGGGAAAAAGAGUAGUAUAAAAUAAAUAGUUCUGAAUCCUGAUAGGAUGAGCUGCAUUGAAAGCCGUUGCGAAACGCAGACAAACAAACCUUUGUCUGCACAUUCUUAAAGGAAUAGUUUACCCAAAAAUGAAAAUUAGCUAAAGAUUUACUCAGCCUCAGGCCAUCUGAGUUUUAUUUUUUUCUAUUGGAAUAGAUUUGGAAUUUAGGAAUAAUAAGGAAUUUAGCUUUUUUUUUUUUCAUUUACUGUCCAAUGGAUUGAAUGCAGUUAAUGGGUGCCAUCAGAAUGAGAGUGCAAACAGCUGAUAAAAACAUCGCCAUAAUCCACAAGUAAUCCACACGACUCCAGUCCAUCAAUUAACGUCUUGUCAAGCGAAAAGCUGUAUGUUUGUAAUAAAAUCAUCAUUAAGACAUUUUAACUUCACAAGUCCUCUAUCCAUAAUAUAACUUUCUCAAGUGAAAAGUUGUUUCGUCUGAAUCAGGGGAGAAAUAUGCAGAUAUCUAGCACCAGUUAUAAGCAAAAAUGGUCUAAAACGGUUCUAAACAAAUGUCUGUGGAUUCUGACAUGAGAGGACAACGAGUAAAGGACUUUUUUGCUUGGAGGAAGCAAUAUUACGGACUAGUUUAAGGAGAGGGGGUUUUGGAAUAUAUUAAUAAAUACCUACCUUUAAAUGAGCCAAUCACGUCUUGUGCCACAAGUCCUGUCCCACCUUAUUCCCUUCUGAAUAUUUUUAAAACUUUUUACU
rnacentral:lncRNA from 1 species